CUGCGGGAUCCUCAGACGCGCAAACCCAUCUCUAUCAGCACCAGGGAGCUCCAAGGAAUUACUCCUGAUCCGGCGGCGGUCAUUGUGUCCAAACCACUUUUUUUCCCCCCAGUAUUUUGACACUUCCUCUGAUGGGUCAUGGAUCGCUGACGCUGGGCUUAGGAUUUCACCAAACUCCAGUCCGAUCAAGUCGAGGAAAACUUCUGCAAUCAGUCAUUUGCGUUCAUCGUGCCGGUUCUGCUGGAAAGAUGUGAAAUCAAGGAGGAGCGGUGUGAAGAGUGAAAGGGACUUUGGUGGAGCACUUCUCCAACGCGCAAUUUAAUACCUAUUAGCCAUAUAUUUUCAGAGCGGGUGGUUUAAGUUCGGAUGGAACCUCUAGGUUAUUGAGUGAGCUACAGAAAACCAGUGGUAUUGGAUGCAUUGAUCCUAAAUGGUUUCAGCCAAACCAAACCUAACCAAAGGGUGCAAUGAAAUCCCAAACAGCACCACCACAGUAGUGACUAAGCGUGGGAGGACUGAAAGGUCUGGGAAAGCACAUUUUACAAAGAAACUAACUGUGCACUUAGAAAAAAAAAACAAGACAUUCAAAUCCCAACGAAACAUUUUAUGAUAUAACUUGUGUGGGAGAAACAGGGAAUGGUGCAAUAAACUUUAUUUGUUUAUUGGACUCCUGCAAAAAUAGUUUUAAACAUUUCAAGCAAGCUGUGUAAAAAAAAAAAAAAAACCCUCUGUCCCUCACAGUUUAUAUACACUGUCACAUCUUGUUGAACAGAAGGAGCCAAAUCUGCACCUCUCACAUAACCACAUGGAGAAAACAUAAAAAUUUAAAAA